rnacentral:rRNA from 1 species
GUGAGGAAUAUUGCGCAAUGGAGGCAACUCUGACGCAGCCAUGCCGCGUGCAGGAAGAAGGCGCUACGCGUUGUAAACUGCUUUUAACCGGGAAGAAACCCCAGGACGUGUCCUGGGUUGACGGUACCGGAGGAAUAAGCACCGGCUAACUUCGUGCCAGCAGCCGCGGUAAUACGAAGGGUGCAAGCGUUAUCCGGAUUCAUUGGGUUUAAAGGGUGCGUAGGCGGAGCGUUAAGUCAGUGGUGAAAUCCUGCAGCUUAACUGUAGACUUGCCAUUGAUACUGGCGCUCUUGAGCGCGCUUGAAGUGGGCGGAAUGUGCCGUGUAGCGGUGAAAUGCUUAGAUAUGGCACAGAACACCAAUUGCGAAGGCAGCUCACUAAGGCGAUACUGACGCUGAGGCACGAAAGCGUGGGGAUCGAACAGGAUUAGAUACCCUAGUAGUCC